UACGGGGGGGGCAAGCGUUGUUCGGAAUUACUGGGCGUAAAGGGCUCGUAGGCGGCCAACUAAGUCGGACGUGAAAUCCCUCGGCUCAACCGGGGAACUGCGUCCGAUACUGGAUGGCUUGAAUCCGGGAGAGGGAUGCGGAAUUCCAGGUGUAGCGGUGAAAUGCGUAGAUAUCUGGAGGAACACCGGUGGCGAAGGCGGCAUCCUGGACCGACACUGACGCUGAGGAGCGAAAGCCAGGGGAGCAAACGGG
rnacentral:rRNA from 1 species